AAGAGUUGUUAUAUACUUUGAAGAACAAGACAAGUACAAAUAGUAUGGGGAAUGGGACUAGUCUCUGCUGACAAAGAUGCAUAUAGUUUCGAGGAAUCAAAUAGAAGGGAAUGCAAAAACUUAAUACUCCACCUCUUCUAUGGGAAUGAAAAUAAACUAGCUAAUUUCAUUGGGGUAUAUUAGCAAAGAGUAGUAGUUAUUAAAAAGUUAGGUGAAAGGAAAAGACACC
rnacentral:lncRNA from 1 species